UACGAAGGGGGCUAGCGUUGUUCGGAUUUACUGGGCGUAAAGCGCACGUAGGCGGAUCGUUAAGUCAGGGGUGAAAUCCUGGAGCUCAACUCCAGAACUGCCUUUGAUACUGGCGAUCUUGAGUCCGGAAGAGGUGAGUGGAACUCCUAGUGUAGAGGUGAAAUUCGUAGAUAUUCGCAAGAACACCAGUGGCGAAGGCGGCUCACUGGCCCGAUACUGACGCUGAGGCACGAAAGCGUGGGGAGCAAACAGG
rnacentral:rRNA from 1 species